UCUCGAGUAGCUCAGUUGGUUAGAGCGCCGUGCUAAUAACGCGGAGGUCCAGGGUUCGACCCCCUGUUUGAGAA
rnacentral:tRNA from 1 species